rnacentral:rRNA from 1 species
UACGUAGGGUGCAAGCGUUGUCCGGAAUUAUUGGGCGUAAAGAGCUCGUAGGCGGUUUGUCGCGUCUGCUGUGAAAUCCCGAGGCUCAACCCUCGGGCCUGCAGUGGGUACGGGGCAGACUAGAGUGCGGUAGGGGAGAUUGGAAUUCCUGGUGUAGCGGUGGAAUGCGCAGAUAUCAGGAGGAACACCGAUGGCGAAGGCAGAUCUCUGGGCCGUAACUGACGCUGAGGAGCGAAAGCGUGGGAGCGAACAGG